rnacentral:rRNA from 1 species
CACGUAGGGUGCGAGCGUUGUCCGGAAUUAUUGGGCGUAAAGAGCUCGUAGGCGGUGUGUCGCGUCGGCCGUGAAAACCUGCAGCUUAACUGUGGGCUUGCGGUCGAUACGGGCAUCACUGGAGUUCGGCAGGGGAGACUGGAAUUCCUGGUGUAGCGGUGAAAUGCGCAGAUAUCAGGAGGGAACACCCGGUGGCGAAGGCGGGUCUCUGGGCCGAUACUGACGCUGGAGGAGCG